CUCUGCUAUUUCCAGCUGAGUUCUUGGGAGGGUGGGCAGUCGUGUUGUGUUUGCGCUCCCUGUCUGGCAUCAGCAAAAGGGUCUCUUGUUCCAGCCCAGUGCCAGGCUAUUGGAAGCUGCAGGAUUCCCCUUUGAUAGAACUACUUUUCACGUGAGUUUAUCUCCUGUGCUCAUCGGCACUCUUUUCUGUUUCCUUCAUAUGGGACAUGGAAGCCAGUUUGGGAUAGCCGUACGAUAGCUGAGUGUUGGAAACAUGACCAGAAAUGGAUCAAGAAGGAGGAAGAGAUCAUACCUUCUUUCCAAGGGCUGGAUAAAGGAGAUAAAGUGGCCUGUGACAGAGCACACACGCUGUCUGUGAUCUGUUGUGCAACGACCGUCAGCGAAUCUGCGUCUUUGUGUGUUUAAAGUGUAUUUCCUGACAUUUACUAGCAAUUUUAAAGGGAUUUACUCUUUGUUGUUUCAUAAUCUCUGGUUCAGAGUAAAGUUGCAGAUUUCAAAGAUCAGAAGAGACCGUUAAUGCCAUAGUCUGGGUCUCUGGGUAGCUCAUCCACCUAACUUCAUCCCCUUCUGUACUGAGCCCAAUACUUUGUGUUUAGCUAUCUUUCAGAAAGGCAUUCAGGCACGAUAUGAAAGCAGAAAGAUCAACCACUAACCCAACAGGUUGUUCCAACAUGAGAUCAUUAUCACUAUUUAAAAUAAAAUGGGUAAUUUACUCCUCAUUUUUCUCUGUGUGCCUUUGGCUAGAAGGCUUAUGCCCGAACAUCCAUAUAAAAGCAAAUAGCUCUUCCAAAAUAAAGCAAAAGAUAGAGUAGAUAUAUAUUGCAGUGAAUCUGCAUGGCUUUACAGAGAAAACAGAGCAGCAUCCUUAAGUGGUUUGAAGCUGUGGUCUGCAGGCAGCCUGCACGCCUUUGUACAGGCAUUUGGACUGCAUUAAGGUCCAUAUCAUAUCUUGAACAUAAUUUCUUCCAGUGCUAUUUCUUCUUUGUAUGCAUUUCCUCUUAACAGAGAGGUGGUGGACUCACCAUUCCUGGGGGUGUCCAAGAACUGUGGGGAUGUGGCACUGAGGGACGUGGUCAGUGGGCAUGGA
ensembl:lncRNA